CAAAAAGCAUAGACUUGUUACACACUACUAACCUCUCCCAUCUCAGCUUUGCUUCCUGGUUUAGCCUUUAUUCUCCCCACCAUUUGGUUCAACAUUCAGCUACUGUUGUGUUCUUCAUAUGUUUCAAGGAGGACUAAGAUUGGUAUUUUUUUGAAACCUGAGUUACAAACUUGGUAGAUAGGACACAAAUAAACGAAAGCUCGAUAGUAAGAUUUAUUUGUAUUUAGUAGAGAUGGAGGUGAUGGA